rnacentral:misc_RNA from 1 species
GCUAACUUAAGCGGCGUAUCAGCUGGGAUGAAGGAUACACCAUUAACUGCAUAUCUCUGUUUUUUUAUCAACUAAGCCAGCAUGAUUGGCUAGUCUUAUUGUUCUCGUCACAUUGAUCUGACCAUAAUGAUAGGAGCCUUGAGGGUUUGGUCUUGGCCCGCUGGCUGUAAGAUUAGUCCUGAUAGAACGCGCCUGAUUUAGGGACCAAGAAAUAUCAGCGGUUGGCCCUGGAGGAGGUGGUCCAGAAACUGUUUUUUUCGAGUUUCUGUAGUGAAGAAUGGCUGUAGAAUUGAGAAUUUGAGUGGUGAAGCGGCUGGAAACAGCUAUGUAGUAAUCUUGAGCACGCUGAUCUGCAGUGACUAACACUGAGUAGGACUGGC